rnacentral:rRNA from 1 species
UACGUAGGGCGCAAGCGUUGUCCGGAAUUAUUGGGCGUAAAGAGCUCGUAGGUGGCUUGUUGCGUCUGCCGUGAAAGCCCGUGGCUUAACUACGGGUCUGCGGUGGAUACGGGCAGGCUAGAGGCUGGUAGGGGCAAGCGGAGUUCCUGGUGUAGCGGUGAAAUGCGCAGAUAUCAGGAGGAACACCGGUGGCGAAGGCGGCUUGCUGGGCCAGUUCUGACGCUGAGGAGCGAAAGCGUGGGGAGCGAACAGG